UUACUUUGGCAGAAUAGUGCUUUAAAUUUAGAAUUUAAAUAUGUGUACUUGUACACAAGUAAUAC
rnacentral:tRNA from 1 species